UCUCUGCGUGGGUGUACAUAAGGCUCCCUCAACAGGGCAGUACAAGUGCACUGAGAUUACCAUACUGAAGGCAUUAUGAUAAAGCAGGCUUAUACCGCACUCAUCUUUACUGCCUUAAUCACUAUUUAUGCCGCCGAAGACAUUAUACUUGACUUCAAAACCUACGACGUUAAACUGUUUAUGAACACAUCAAAGCUAAUAUGGACGUACAAUAGCACUCAAACAUCACCCCAUUAUUGCCUGGUGGACAAGGUGACGAGUAUAACAGAAAAUGCCGUGUACUUCAACAGAUCUUAUAACUCGUCCGACAAAAGGGUGACUGAGAGUCUGGAAGGAGCAUUUGUUCCUCACUUCCACAACAUGAUGACCGUUGGCCCUAACGGUAC